AUCUGUGCAAAUUGAUUAAGUGAGAGCUGUUACGCACAGCCCCCUCUCCCGGCUCCACUUUCUCACUCCCGGCCCCCCCCUUUCACCCCUACCCCCAACUCCCACCCAGCCAUUCGCCUGCAGCCCUGGAAAAGGACAGUUUCUUGUCUCCUGCAGGGCACCUAGUACCAGUUGCCUGGCACCCGGCUUUCGGAGAGGUCUGAAGACUGCCAAAUCCAUGCUAAGAACCCUCACUAUAAAGCACCAGUGAUUUUGAAGGUUCUCGAUAUCUUUCUCCACCAAAUGAGUUCCUGUGACAUCCAAGGACUUGGCUGGGAGAUACUCCUUUGGUCUGGAUAGGAUUUCCUCGUUUCCAAAUCAUCGGCGGGCGAGUGAUUGUCUUCCUUAUCUGGCUCUUGAAGGCAAUAAACCGAGUUUCAAGGAGAGGCAAAGAAACCGUGACCCGGAUACUGCCGGAGCUGCCGCGGUCGGGGCGCCCGAGCCCUAAUUAAAAGCGUCGUGGCCGCCUCUGGUUCCCGGCUGUGCGCCCAGGAGCGCGCCCUGAGGCUUUGGGCCGGGCACCCCCCACCCCCGCGCCUGGUCUGCUCAUCUCCGGGCUUCAGGCCCCCGCCCCAGCCCCUUGGAAAAGAGCAAGGCGAGCAGCCGAGCCCACCAGGGACGAGCGACCUACAUCGCGCGCAGAUACUGGGGCACCGCGAGCGCGCGUGGCCGCCGGGUCUGUCCGCCCGACUCCUGCCGAGAACGCGGCCCAGGCUGCGACCUUCGGGGUGGGUGGGGGGACAUCGUCCGGGGUUCGGCUGCCUAGACCUGCCCGAUUUUCCGCUGCCCCCAACCCCUCCUCUGUGAGGAACCUGGUAAGGCGCGCAAGUGCAGCGCGGCCCCCACCACCCCGCGUUGGGCCUCAGCUACCCUGGCGUUUCUGGGGUACCCAAGUGCGCGGCCAUGUGCCCCCAUCCUCCGCCCCGAUCCGGCCUAGCCAAAGGGGACCCCGCGGCCAAACACACUUGCUGAAUAAACGAGAGGAUUUG